rnacentral:rRNA from 1 species
GACGAACGCUGGCGGUGUGCUUAACACAUGCAAGUCGAACGGUAAGGCCCUUUCGGGGGUACACGAGCGGCGAACGGGUGAGUAACACGUGAGUAACCUGCCCUCAUCUCUGGGAUAACUGUCGGAAACGGAUUCUAAUUCUUGAUAUGAGCUUGCAAGUCCUCUUGUGGGUUGGAUGGAUUUUUUCGGUUGGGGGUGGACUCGCGGCCUAUCAGCUUGUUGGUGUGGUAGUGGCUCACCAAGGCGUCGUUGGGUAGCCGGCCUGAGAGGGCGACCGGCCACAUUGGGACUGAGAUACGGCCCAAGCUCCUACGGGAGGCAAGAGUGGGGGAUAUUGCACAAUGGACGGGAGUCUGAUGCAGCAACGCCGCGUGCGGGAUGACGGCCUUCGGGUUGUAAACCGCUUUCAAUUGGGGCGGAGCUUUUUGUGACGGUAGCAGGAGAAGAAGCACCGGCUAACUACGUG